GUCUGGAAGUAGUUGGUGCAGAACCAGAAUCAUUUCUCCUCCUGCUCAGUCCAGUUGCAGGUCUCAAAGCAUCAAGACUAGUAUCAGAAUUUCCACCUUUUUCCUGCCUUGAAAUAGUUGUUUGGCUUAUAGUACAGCUGACACCAGUUGCAUGCCUCAAAGCAUCAGCAUUAGCAUCUUGCAUGACAGCAGUUGCAGGCUGCUAAGACAAAAGCACAAUAUGAACUCAUUAAAGAGGAAAGGCAGCUUAUCUUGAAUGCAUGACUCACAGUGGCUGCACAGUGUGCCUGAAUUGACCAUUAUGAUAACUUACAACAAGUUGAACAAAAGAAAAAUGUUUACUGGUACCUUCUCUGCUUUUGGAGGGUUAACUUUGCCUUCAGGAUUGGAAGAUGAAUCCACAAUUUUAUCUUUGCCAGCAGUUGUAGUACGGUAUGUGCAGACUUCCUCAUUUCCGUUAACUUCGAAAUCUGGCUUGCGCAUUAUCCUCUUCACAUCAGGAUAACCUUCUUCAGGUUCACAAAUAUUUGAGUCCAAAUCUUUUGUGAUAAAACUUAUCAGCUGAUAUUGGGAGAAAAAGAAAUUAGUUAAAGCCAGUGAAUAUACAACGGGUCUAUAAGUGGGCAUCAGUCAGAUCACCAUAUAAUGUGUCCUUUUUGGGUUCAAACUCAAAAUGCCUCCAAAUACAUGAGGUUAAUGAUUAUUACUUCUUUCAAUA